CAGCUGAUCCCAGCACCCUAAUCACUCACCUGCCUGCCAUCAACUCAUCACAUGCAGCCUACAAAUGUUUGGACUUCACUCCGCGCGAUUUCCAGAUUGUUUCACCUUUCUACAUGUGUUCCCCACCUGCCAUGUGUGCCUGCCUCAGCCUGCUAGCCUCAGUGUGCUCUCCUGGACUGCAAAGCCAAGGACUACAAGCUCCUUCCUUUCCCUCAGUUUCUCAUCGGGAUAUCCAUCGAUGUCGGUGUCCUUCCCACAUAAGUACCCGUUUCCAGCCCAGCCGAUUCCACACUGAGAGAUCAAAACAGG